rnacentral:rRNA from 1 species
AAUAGAUACCCCGGUAGUCCACGCCGUAAACGAUGAGUGCUAGGUGUUGGGGGGCAUCACGUCCUCAGUGCCGAAGGAAACCCAAUAAGCACUCCGCCUGGGGAGUACGGCCGCAAGGCUGAAACUCAAAGGAAUUGACGGGGGGCCCGCACAAGCGGUGGAGCAUGUGGUUUAAUUCGAAGCAACGCGAAGAACCUUACCAAGGCUUGACAUCCCAUUGACCGCGCUAGAGAUAGUGCUUCCCUUCGGGGCAAUGGUGACAGGUGGUGCAUGGUUGUCGUCAGCUCGUGUCGUGAGAUGUUGGGUUCAGUCCCGCAACGAGCGCAACCCUUAUCCUUAGUUGCCAGCAGGUAAAGCUGGGCUCUCUAAGGAGACAGCCGGUGAAAGCCGGAGGAAGGUGGGGAUGACGUCAAAUCAUCAUGCCCCUUACGUCUUGGGCUACACACGUGCUACAAUGGAUGGUACAAAGGGCAGCAAAACCGCGAGGUCGAGCAAAUCCCAUAAAGCCAUUCUCAGUUCGGAUUGUAGG